GUAUUACUUCGGGCAUCGUUUAAUAGCAAACUUAGAACUCGCUGCGUCUAGGGGGAAUCCGACUGUCUAAUUAAAACAGAGCUUUGCGAUUGGCCGGAAAACUUGGUGUUGACGCAAAGUGAUUUCUGCCCAGUGCUCUGAAUGUUAACGUGAAGAAAUUCAAAUAAGCGCGGGUAAACGGCGGGAGUAACUAUGACUCUCUUCUGGUAGCCAAAUGCCUCGUCAUCUAAUUAGUGACGCGCAUGAAUGGAUUAACGAGAUUCCCACUGUCCCUGUCUACUAUCUAGCGAAACCACAGCCAAGGGAACGGGCUUGGACUUCAAUGCGGGAAGAAGACCCUGUUGAGCUUGACUCUAAUCUGUCUUCGUAAGAGACUUGAAAAGUGUAGUGUAGAUGGGAGUGGC
rnacentral:rRNA from 1 species